CUCUAUUCCAGCAGCCGCGGUAAUACGUUCCCGGGCCUUGCCUCACCGCCCGUCACACCACGAGAGUUUGUAACACCCGAAGUCGGUGGGGUAACCUUUUGGAGCCAGCCGCCUAAGGUGGGACAGAUGAUUGGGGUGAAGUCGUAACAAGGUAGCCGUAUCGGAAGGUGCGGCUGGAUCACCUCCUUUCUAAGGAUAUUGCCGUAAAGGCAAUCGGAACUCAGACCUCAGGGUCUGAUGAUGUUGACUGCUUGUUUGUUUAGUUUUGAGGGAGCAACUGCCUCAAAACUUUUUUGUUCCUUGAAAACUAGAUAAUCGUAAGUAAGAAGAACCAAAGAAGAAACCGAGUGAUCGCCAUUUUAGUUUUCUCUCUAUUCAAUUAGAGAAAUGACCUUUUAGGUUAAGUUAGAAAGGGCGCACGGUGGAUACCUAGGCACACAGAGA
rnacentral:misc_RNA from 1 species